rnacentral:rRNA from 2 species
AAAAACAUAGCCUAAUGGGUUAAUAUUAGGUGAGCACUGCCCAAUGAUAAUAAUUUAAUGGCCGCAGUACACUGACUGUGCUAAGGUAGCAUAAUAAUUUGGCUUAUAAUUGAAGUCUAGUAUGAAGGUGUUUAUGGGGGAUAGCUGUUUCAGUGGAACUAAAAAAAAAUUUCUUAAUAGGUGAAAAUUCCUUUAAUUGAAUAUAAUAGACGAGAAGACCCUAAGAAUUAUAUAUUAAAAUUAUAAGAUUAUAAUAAAAUUUUUGUUGGGGCAACAGAUUUGGUUAAUCAAUAACUUUUAAAAUUUCAUAUUAAACAUAUUUAAUAAGAAUUUAAUUACCUUAGGGAUAACAGCAUUAUUAAAUUAUUAGAUUGUGACCUCGAUGUUGGACUAGGGACUUUUUAAGUAAGCCAUUUAAAAAGAUUGUUCUGUUCGAACAUAGUACCCUACAUGAUCUG